GACUCCGAAGAGGAGGAGCAGGUAGAACACCAAUCGUACUCGGCGAAGUAGGGUCCCCAGCGCUCCCCGAAGGCAUUCUGCAGAGCCAGGAAUGAGGAGUCUGGAGAGAUGGCCGAUUCCGGGACAGGAGGAGGGAAGUACCAUAAAAGUCUGAGGGAAUGUUCUA